UCGGAAUGUCGCGUAGCAAAGAGGCUGCGUGAAGGCUUUCUGAUCCCUGAUUUCUGAUCCCUGAUACCUGCGCUGCUCUGCAAUGGGCAGCGAGUGGCGGACGGGUGAGUAACACGUGGGAAUUUUCCUCAAGGUACGGAACAACUCAGGGAAACUUGGGCUAAUACCGUAUGAUGCCGAGAGGCCAAAGAUUUAUCGCCUUGGGAUAAGCCCGCGUCAGAUUAGGUAGUUGGUGGGGUAAAGGCCUACCAAGCCUGUGAUCUGUAGCUGGUCUGAGAGGACGAUCAGCCACAUUGGGACUGAGACACGGCCCAAACUCCUACGGGAGGCAGCAGUGGGGAAUCUUGCGCAAUGGGCGAAAGCCUGACGCAGCCAUGCCGCGUGAGUUUGAAGGUCUUAGGAUUGUAAAGUUC
rnacentral:rRNA from 1 species